rnacentral:lncRNA from 1 species
UUUUUUCUUUUGCUUUUGCUUUCUGAGUUCAUUUUUUCCUCGUGAAAAUGCUUACUUCCCAACACUCAUGAGAGACUUUGUGAUUCCAAAAUGAGACCCAAAAAGGCAUAAAUCAAAUCAAAAGGUGGAAAUACUGGUUGAGUUGUUUGAAAUCAAGAUGGGUUCUUCCUCAAAUACCACAGUUGCUAUAACCCCCCCACACGCACACACACAUACACACACACGUUCCAGAAACACAAGUAUGCAAGCACUUAAUAUAAAGCAGAUACAAUCCCCAUUCUCAGAGCAUAUAUCUAAUUAGAGGAGCAAGAAUAAUAUGUUCUAUAUAUUUGCAGCUAGUCUAUGUCUCAGUAUAUUUUUUCUUGUCCCCCCCAAGAUAUAUAAGAAAUAGAGCUCUACUUUUCUUUGACUUAUACUAUUUUGUCUUUCAAGCCACCACUACACCAUUACCAUUUCAUCAGAGUGGUAGAACUAAAUCCCAUUCAACCCUAUACCUGAGGCUGUAUCUAGGUUUUAGGUGGUGGUAACAGGGGCCGUAUGUUAUGUCAAGGUGUCCAGAAGGGGAGAUGAGCCAGCCAGGCCCUCACUGGCACCUGUCCACACAGAAAUCCACUUAAACAUGCAUUGCCUGCCUGGUCCUUGGUAUGAGGUCCACCCAUGUGAUCACAGAGAUAGUUCCCUUUCAAUCCACUUGCUCCUUCAAGUUUUAGGGUUCUCUCUCUGAAUCCUGGGGUCCUUGUGGAUACCCAAGUAUCAUCCUGCUGUUUCUGUGACAUGAGUAGGUGCAGGAUGUCUAAGCCAUUCUAUAGCUACCUCUUCUCUAGGAUCUGGUGGCCUCUUGGGGCACGAGGAGGGGGAGACACAAACCUAUCUGUGGUUUUGCUGCUGCCCCAAACCAGGGAAGCAGAUGCAGGGCUCUUCCUUCUGGAACCCACCAACAUCUACACUCUUACUGCCUUCUAUCACUUUCAUCCUACUCUUACUAAGAAAAAACUUCUUCUUAUAUAUCUUAAUGGGUCUAAAGUAGAGGUCAAAUUGCAAAGCUGAAAAGAGCAGGGAUUUGCAUAUAUAUAUGGGAUGCUCUAAGACCUGGUCAGCACAGAAAGAGCCUCUAGAGGAAAUACUGCACCACCACUGGAUACAUUUAAGAGAAAUACAAUAAUUGUAUUUUAAACUAUCAGUUUUUAAUACUCUGGAAAUUAAAUCUCAUUUAAAUCUAGUUCAACUUAUGAUUUUAAAAAUUGGGAAUAAAAUCAACCUGACCAUCUAUAAGGGUUAGACAGUCUUCCAAAAUCUUUUUAGAGGGUGUCUGACCAAAAAGUUUGAAGGCCAACUACUCCUGAACCUAAAAGAGACUUACAUUUGAAAUGGAUCUUGAAAAGUGAGUUGAACAUUGCAGGGUGGGCAUGCUGGGGAAAGAAAGUCCAGGUAGAGGACUGCCCUCCAGUCUUGAGGAAAUGAAAAUGCAGGCAUAUUUAGAAAUAUAUGAGGAGCUGGUAUAAUUGGAAUAUACAUGGAGGGCCUAAUUUGCCCCUCUAAUGAGCCUAGACUUGUCCUUAGGCAAAAAGGAGAAAUGAGUCUGUCAUCUGAUCAAGUUCAACCCUUGACCAAUACUAAGAGAACAGUGGUUAAACUUCUGAAAACUUAAUGUCCAGAACAUAAAGAACUCACACAAUUAAACAAUAACAACAAAAACUUGAUUUAAAAAUGAGUAAAUUUAGGGGUACCUGGGUGGCUCCAUGGAUUAAGCAUCCAACUCUUGAUUUCAGCUUGGGUUGUGAUCUGAGGGUCAUGGGAUCAAGCCCCUCAUUGAGCUCCAUACUCAGCAGGGAGUCUGUUUGAGAUUCUUCCCCUCUGCCCCUCUCCCUGUUUGUACACUUUCUCUCUCUCUCAAAUAAAUAAAUAAAUAAAUAAAUCUUUAAAAAAGAUAAUGAGUAGACAUAGACACUUCUCCAAGAAAAUACAUAAAUGGCCAAUAGGCACAUGAAAAGAUGCUCGAUGUCACUAAUCAUUAGGAAACUACAAAUCAGAACCACAGUGAGAUCCCACUUCACACCCAUUCAGACGGACAUCAUCAAAAUCAAAAUAAACAACAACAGCAACAAAACAGAAAAAGACAGGGAUGGUGAGGAUGUGAAAAAAUUGGGACUCUGUGCUCUGCCAGUAGGAACAUAAAAUGGUGCAACCACUGUUAAAAAAACAGUAUGGUGGUUCCUAAAAAAUCAAAAAUAGAAUUACCAUAUAAUCCAGCAAUCUCACGUCUGGGUAUAUAUCCAAAAGAAUUGAACUCAGGUUCUCAAAGAGAUAUUUGUAUACCCAUGUACAUAGUUAUGAACAUAGUUAUUUUCACAUGUACAUAUUUGUACGUGGCUAUAUUCAUAUGUACAUAUUUGCACACCCAUGUUCAUAGGUUAUGAACAUGUUAUUCACAAUAGCCAAAAAAGCAACCCAAGUAUCCAUUGAUUGAUGAAUGAAUAAACAGAAUGUGGUCUAUACAUAAAAUGGAAUAUUAGUCUUAAAGAAGGAAAUCCUGACACAUGUUACAACAUAGAUGAGGCUUAAAGUCAUUACUGGUUAAGUGAAAUAAGGCAGUCACAGAAGAACAAACACUGUAUGAUUCUACUUAUAUGUGUCACCUAGAUAGUCAAAUUCAUAGAGUUAGCAAGCAGAAUGGUGGUUGCCAGGAGCUGGGGAGGAGGACACAUGGAAGUUACUGUUCUAGGCAUGGAGUCUGGGAAGAUGACAAAAAUUCUGGAGAGAAAUGGCAUUGUUGGCUGCCCAACAAUGUAAAUGUACUUAAUGCCACUGAAUUGUAUGUUGUAAGAUGAUUAAAAUGGUAAAUUUAUGUUAUGGGUAUUUUAUAAUCUUAAAAACAUUUUUCACACAGUUAAAAUAAUACAUUUUAUGUAUGUUUUAAGUGAAAAUUUACAUUUUAAAUUUUUUUCUGGAAACUUAAGUCUCUUUCUCUGGAGACUAGAAAAGACUUGUUCAGGCUCAGAGUUUGAGCUUUUUCUAAACAAAUCACCUUGACCCUUUGUUAAAACCUGGUGCUUUAACAUCCUUGCUGUUUUCUCUCCACCUGCAGUCUUGUAUCCUCCAUCCUUGUUGACUGCAGCACAGGGUUCAAUUAACUCUGUUUGGAAAAAAAUACAGACUUUCUGUCCCCAAGAAUGGGUCAUCAGCUCCUCAAACAUUCCCUCAGGCUACCCUCCAACCUGCUUAAGCCUCUGUCCCAACUGCAUUGAAGUCUGUUUCCUCUCUUCCUCAGAUGCUUGCCAAGCUCUCUCCCUCUCAAAAAACAAAUCAUAAAAUGAAGUUAAAACAAACCCUGCUCUGCUUUAUUCCACGUGUAGUUACAUCGUACUGCAGCAAGUUAAAGUUCAGAUCUUUGCAAGUUUACGGACUCUGGUCGUUCGUUCAACAAAUGUUAUUGCACAUCUGCCAGUGGCAGGGAUGGAGCGUGACAAAGGCAAGGAAGACAUGAUUUCAGUCAUUAUGACGUCUGCGGUUCAGUAGGGAAAACAAAUAAAUAGGAAAUGACAGCCCAGAGUGAAAAUGCAACCGUCCUCAGAGGAAGCACUGAGUGGGGGCAGGCGGGCUGAGGCUGGGGAGCGAGGGGCACCCAACCCGGUUAAGAGAUGGGAAGAAGAGAAUCCCAGAAAGAGGAAGCCUCAGUGGAGAAGCCUGCAGCAGAGACAGAUGCUGAAACACAGGGUAAAAAGCAGGUGCAUGUCCCCGAGAUCCCAGAGCCACCGUCUCAUUUGUUUCCCUCCAAAGUCCUCUGGCUCUUCCUUUUGUGUUGACAGCCCCCAGUUAGUUUUUCCAACUGUUCCAACCUGUUCAAAACUUCCCAAGAACCAACAGGAGAAAAACAGCACCUCACCUUUUGAGCUGUAAUUCCUUGAAAAGACUUAGGCUUUCAGGACAUUCGGCACCCUGUGUCAUCCCCUUCCCCUUUCCCUUUUCCUCUCUCCUUAGCACUAGGGACAGUGGCACUGAGCAAAAUAUGCAUUAUGCAAAAGCAACUUGAAGCUCUAAAGUGUGAUCAAAAUGGUGGGUAUGAAUCAUCAUGAUUAAUAAUGGGAUGUUUUGUACAGAGGAAAGUGCAGAGUCUGAGAUCCCAGGAAUCUUGGGUCUAGUUCCUUCCUCUGACUCUGUGACCCAGAGUAAAUUUUAAAUGUCUCUUCAGCACAUGCUGGCAUUUUACUGCAUCUUGCACUUUAUAUUCUUACCCUCAUCCCCAAGCACGCACACACAUGUAUAUGCUUGGAUAGGUGACACAAAUAUGGAGAUAUGUUUCAUUUUUGUAAUAUAGAUUGAUUGUAGGUUUCUGGGUGAUCACUCUAGUAUUCCUUUAAAUUUUCUCAAUUUUUGAAACUUUCAUAGCAAAAAUUUAGAAAACAAAAUUCCUCCCUUCCAGCCAUUUUCCAUCUGUGACCUGUGACUUUCCCUCAAUUUAAGACACUCUCUGGUCCCAGACAAUAUCAUACCACCCCUUCUUCUGAUAUCAAAAUUUGCUCAGAAAUAUGUAGUUACCCAUUAUCACCUCUCCUUAGCUUUGGGCAUAUUUAUGCUAAGUUCUUACUUUUUUAAAGAGCAUUCCCAUGUUACCUCUAACUAUAACAUAAAGGUUUUGUAGUUUCUUUAAAGGAUUUCAGAAUGAGCGAGUAAGAGAGGAUUGGAGGGCCAGGGAGGCUGUCUUCCCAGACCCGCAUAAAGCACAUCGAAGAGGCUACAUCUGCCUGUAUACACCCACGCGUGCAUAGCACAGUAUCCCUUUUUAAGCCACGUGUCUCAAGUGGACUCUGCUUUAAAUUGGCUGCUGCGCUGAGCCCCAUUACCCCCAUAGACGACCGACCACUCAUUUGUCAAGUAAGGCCACUGCACCAGCUGGGUACUGGACUAGCUCCCCUGGGCUGCUCAUUAAGCAUGUGGAUCCUGGACCCCACUCCCUGGUACACGUGGUCAACAACAUGCGAAACACUGCCCUGGAUGCCCCAUAGGACUCUCUUGAGCUAUAAUACAUGGACGUUUAUGACAAAAUAGUUGUGGGCUGUGUGCUCCCAAGAGAGCGUCUGUCCCACGCCUCCUCUCUUUCCCCCCACUCCCACCCCCUCUUCUCCAUCCAUUAUUCACAGCAUGAGCGGGACCUUAUCAGCCCAAAGGGAAAUGCUCUCCUGACUCUGCUGACCUGUAAGCCUAAGGCAAGAGAACUCAGAAGAAGGUGGGGUUGAAGCAGAUAUGCCACAAUCCAGGAGGAUUUUCUCUCUUUUUUGGCCAUCCUCUAAAAUAAAAUAUAACUGCUCAUCUCUUUCUCACUACACGAAACUGUAUUUUUAAAAAGAUUUUAUUUAAUUAUUCAUGAGAGACACAGAGAGAGAGGCAGAGAUAUAAGCAGAGGGAGGAGAAGCAAGUUCCCUGCAAGAAGCCUGAUGUGGGACUCGAUCCCAGGACUCUGGGAUCACCCCUGAGCCAACGGCAGACACUCAGUCACUGAGCCACCCAGGGGCCCCACGAAACUGUAUUUUAUAAGCCACAUUGCCUGCAGUUUAAGUGCUAUUUUCUUGUUGUGCAGAGCUCUCUUUUUUGAUAUAUUUUUUGGGAAAAGCUUUGUAAAGGCCUAUUUCAGCCUAAAAAUAGAAAUACUUUCCUUUAGGAAGUCACCGCUCCCUUCCUCUCACAUAUUUGAGGAAAUACUGCAGAUAUAACUGUAAUGAUGUUAAAAAGGAAAUCCAACCACAAAACAAAUUCCCUUCCAAGUGUUUUCACGGGAGCCUAUAACAGCUGAUAUCCAAAAGAUGGGAGGGCGGGGGCGGGGGGGCUCUUUCCCCUCAAUGUCAUACCGGGCCUUCCAUUUUCAGUGGGCCAAAUGUUAACUAAAUUGAAAAGAAAGUCAACAAAAGUCCUUUUCAUUCUGGGACAUACAAGAAUGCAGGGCCUCAUCCUGAAGUUUCAAGUCACUGAGACCUUCUACCCGGCUGAGUGAACUACAGGAAUUCAUUCAAUAAUCCUGUGGAAUGAUCCUUCUUGGGAGAAGAUGGAAGCCCAGAGCACCACCUGACCAGCCUCAGCAGUGACCCCUCAUUCUUCCCCGACUGUUCUCUUGUCCCGACUUGUCUGGAUUAUGUGAUUAUCAUAACACCAGUACGCAGGGGAAUCCUUGAAGGAGUCCUGACUGUUUUUUCUUCAGCAUGUUUCAAAGAACUGACAAAAGCAAUUGAGAAAAGAUUUCUUUCAGAUUUGCUGUUCCUCAGGCCAGGGGUACACACACUUUGCCUUGACCAUCAAGGGCAUUAUGUCAAAGCAAUGAGAAGUUACAGGUGCAAGCUGAAUGUAUGCUAUUAGCCGCCAAACCAGCCUGCAAAAAUAAAAUUCAUGUUAUCUCUCAGUUUUAUGCCAACUGGAGAUAAUUAUCAAUGAGUAAAACAACAAUAAGUUACAAGACAAGACAGUCCGGAUGCAACAAACUGCUAAAAUUGAUGAUAAAACUUGAAGGAAGUGUGCAGUUUGAGUUGAGCAUCUGGGGAAGGCUCCAUGCAGAAUAAAGAAAAUAGACUAGCUGUUACUGCCAUGGGCUUUGCAAACUGCCCUCAUCUAGAACUUGGAUCCGGUACUUAUUAGCUAUAGGACCUAAGGCAAAAUACUUAACCCAUGUCUGCCUUGGUUUCCUCAUCUGUAAAAUGGAGAUAAUGCAAGCAUUUAUCUCAGAAGGUUGUAAUAAAAAAAUACACACAUACAAACACACCCAUAUGUAUAGAUAGAUAGAUAGAUAGAUAGAUAGAUAGAUAGAUAGAUGUAUUUAUUCUUUUACCCAUUUUCACAGAAUAUAAGCUGCAUGAAAACAGAAAAUAUUAUUUGCUGCUAUGAUGACUGUCCUGUAUUGACUUAGCUAAAUUGCGAAUACAUUUCCAGCAUUCUCUUCCCUGCAUAUUCUUGGGACAGUGGCCAUAAGAGAAAUGUGUAUGAUAUUUGGAAGUUAAAAGUGAAGCCUUCGCCAUAUUUUUCUGCUCUGAAGGUCAGUGCAGGGCUCCAGCAGUGUGUUGGCUUACACACGAGGUCACUGAUCUGCUGGCACACCCUGUUGCAUGAGGCAGCAGCCAGACUCAUGCUUCUCCACUUCUCAGCAAAUCUCUUCCUUCAGCUUUUUUGAGUCCUGGGCCAGGCAUGAGUGCAGCUCCGUGGCGUCACUGCCUCCUACAGGUUCCCUCUGUUAGAGGCAAUGACAGACAGGUUCUGUUUUUUUCUCACAGGUCAGAAUCUGCCCUUGUUGGUACCAUUUUGCAUAGUUUUCCUUCCCCACUAGCUGGUCUUAAACUAUAAAGACUUAUGGAUCAUCACCAGAUGGAGAGGCAACAGCCUUGCAUAGAGUCCCCAGCAGCUUCUACAGUCAUGGAGUCAUGGAGUCUAAUUCCUAAAAUAAAUCCUUAUUCGGCAUCAUUUAUAGUGAUUUGGCUUCUCUGACUGAACCUGGACUUAUAGGGAAACUGGUGUCAGACAUGGUUCCAGAUGACAUGUUCUCUGACUCAGUUCUAGAACCAGUCUGAAAUUGGUUCUCUGAUCUCAUCCAAUUUAAAGGCAUGAAUGAUCCAGGAUCAUUCAUAAUAAUUGAUAAUGGUGGUCCUUGAGAUGCAAGCAGAAAUUACUUUAACGAUUACCUGCAAUCGAAUGUCAGUAGCAAACAAAGCUUUGGGUAAUAAAGUAGUUUCUUCAAAAAAAAAAAAAAAA